ensembl:snoRNA small nucleolar RNA SNORA76
ACGCGCUGCCUUUGAGCCCCCGAUGCACCUUCUCGUGGUGCCGGGGGUUAAGCUGCGGCGCCAUAGCAAACUGCUGGCGCAUAACUGGGGCCACCUGCCCUUCGCGGGCGGCCCUUUUAACCGCUAGCUACAGGC